GACUCUUAGCGGUGGAUCACUCGGCUCGUGCGUCGAUGAAGAACGCAGCGCUAGCUGCGAGAAUUAAUGUGAAUUGCAGGACACAUUGAUCAUCGACACUUCGAACGCACUUGCGUACGCCU
rnacentral:rRNA from 1 species